rnacentral:rRNA from 1 species
UACGAAGGGGGCUAGCGUUGUUCGGAAUUACUGGGCGUAAAGGGCGCGUAGGCGGUGUGUCAAGUCAGGCGUGAAAGCCCCGGGCUCAACCUGGGAACCGCGCUUGAGACUGGCAGACUCGAGUUCGGGAGAGGAUGGUGGAAUUCCCAGUGUAGAGGUGAAAUUCGUAGAUAUUGGGAAGAACACCGAUGGCGAAGGCAGCCAUCUGGACCGACACUGACGCUGAGGCGCGAAAGCGUGGGGAGCAAACAGG